UCGUGGCGGGGAGGUGAGCUGUAUUUCUGCUGCAGCUCCUGAUGCCAUGUUCUCCUGGCGGGGUCGCUUGCCGGACCCAUUUAGAUCAGACGACGUCGGGCUUGUCAACGUACCCGAGGCCAUCGUGUUGGCAGCCGUUAGCUUGUGUUGUGGUAACCUCCCUCCAUCGGUGGCAGCACUUUGCUCGGCUGCGCAGCGCCGCUCCACAGCGAGGAAGAAAACCUACGCCAUCUUUGAUUUUUGAUUUAACGUCGCCUGUUUUACCUUUCCAAACAAAUGAGCCCCUUUCAUUCGAUCGGUCUACAUGAUGUCUGUCUGACUCCCUACACUCACGUGAGGUCAACAUCUCCCUCAAACGCUCAGUUUCCAUCGAGCUCCAUCGACGCCCGUUGGCUGGCUGACUGAAUGCUACGUUCCUCGGCACCAGCUUUCUCCGUGGAGACUCAUCAUGCGGCGAUGGACUUGAGCCAGGUCUGAGACGGAGGGUGCAAUGCGUUUGGAGAGUAAACUGAGAAGGACGCGAAGACGACCCUGUGGUUGAGCGGCUGCGUUACGCGGUAGUUGUCCUGCAGCAGCAUCUGGUCGCGAUCUUCCGCUUUGCUGGAGUAAAGUAUCGUCUCCAUCUUCAGCAGCUGCAGUGGAGAGAUGAAGAGAAAUGGGGAGAACAGUCCCCAGGCAGUAAACUUAGAACAAAAAUGAAUACUGGGAAUGAGAAGAAGAUGAGAGGAAGAAGAAUGUAUCUCACCGGUUGGUACAGUACACAGUAUAUUAAUAAAUACGAUGGCACUGUUUAUGUAAGACCCCUUGUCAACGUCUUUGUUUUGUGAGCAGUUCAAUCACAGAUUAUUUGGUUUGCCACUUAUACUGAAAUAAUUCUUAACUCUUGCAGUUCAUGCCAUCUUUCAUAUAAAUGCGUAGACUCCUGUUGUUCCUCUACAGAUGACAAUAAACUUGAUAUUCGUAGGCCUGCAGAUUUAAUACUGUACAGCAUUUGUCUGAAAUUUUUGAAUUUCUUACUUGUUGGUCAUCUCAUGACCCCUUGAUUCUUCCCAGCAGUCUCUUGUGGGACCUGGCCACAGGUUGGGAAGCACUGGACUAAGAAAUUGACAUUUAAAUGAAUGAAUCUAUAAUUUUGUAAUAUGUAGGCUAAUUUCUCCAUUUACAUACAUCUUUAUUUCAGACACAUAAAACAUAUACGCAAGAUAAUAAUUGUACUUUGUGUUUUGUAUUUGACAAUUUAGUACUGUGGACAUAUGUAUCAGCAUAAUGUUUAUUUGAAGUGUACUGUACACAAAAUACAAUAUUAGAAUAAUAUACAAUUAAUCACGACUGACAGUUAUUUCAGUAUUAAUAAACCAAUUAUUAUCUUGAUUAUUCAAAUAAUUGUGUUACCUAUAAUAUAUGUUUCUGUUUGUUUGUUUGGCUCUUUAAAUCAAAGAAGGUGAAAUGUGUGAAGCUAAAAACAGAGAAUGUAAAUUAAACAAUAAAUUGAUUGUCAAAAUAGUUGCUAAUA